rnacentral:rRNA from 1 species
UACGUAGGUCCCGAGCGUUGUCCGGAUUUAUUGGGCGUAAAGCGAGCGCAGGUGGUUUAUUAAGUCUGGUGUAAAAGGCAGUGGCUCAACCAUUGUAUGCAUUGGAAACUGGUAGACUUGAGUGCAGGAGAGGAGAGUGGAAUUCCAUGUGUAGCGGUGAUAUGCGUAGAUAUAUGGAGGAACACCGGUGGCGAAAGCGGCUCUCUGGCCUGUAACUGACACUGAGGCUCGAAAGCGUGGGGAGCAAACAGG